rnacentral:snRNA from 1 species
AACUUUGCGCAGUGGCGAUACAGUAACCAAUGAUCGAAUAGAGAGGUGCUGUUAUUGCUAGUUGAAAACUAUAACCAAUACCCCGCCUAGUUGAUGUGAAAUAUCGUCGGCUAAGGCAAUUUCUGAAGGCUCUUACGGGAG